AGCUUUGCGCAGUGGCAGUAUCAUAGCCAAUGAGGUUUAUCCGAGGCGCGAUUAUUGCUAAUUGAAACAGAAACACAUACUCCUUUCAAAAUAUUACUGCUCAUUGACAAUGCACUUGGUCAGUUAAGAGCUCUGAUGGAGAUGUGCAACAAGAUUAAUAUU
rnacentral:snRNA from 1 species